CUCUCUUCCAUUCAACACACGAAACACCCUCAUCCAGAAGUCUCGCUUCAAGGAAUGCAAAGUUGAGGCACUGUGCUGGAUGUCUGAAGAAGGUUAUAUGGAGAUACAUGUGCUUUCUGAUGCACUUAUGUGAGAAGGUAAAAGCCUUGAGAUUGACUUCAUCAAGAUCAGAGAAGAGCUGCACCAACUUGGCAGGGAGUUCUCGGAGGACGAGUGAUUCCUGCUCGAGCAUAGAAUGUUGCCACAGCUAUGCUGAUAUAUCAAUCCAGGAUGCAAUUCUUCACUGCAAAAAAUCAAAUGAGCAGGAUAAGUGAUCAGGAUUGUAGAAGAGCAAGGAAGAAAGGAACCAGUUUCUCCAUUUUCAUCAGGGAUGAACUCUCCACAAAGAAUGAGAAAUCAAUUAUAUUUGAUCCAUGCAGUCAAAGAAAGAAAUGACAACCAUAAAAGAAAGAAAGAGAGUCAUCUUCCUACGGUUAACUUCCUCUGUCUCUUGGUUUCAAGAAAGUGUAAUUUCCACUGUUCAGAGAACAAAGAACAGCAAAUGUAUAUUUAUGGGUCUUGUGAAAUGCCACCAUGUAAUAGAUUGCAACCAGAUCAUGUUUUCUGUGCA